CCUACGGGAGGCAGCAGUGAGGAAUAUUGGUCAAUGGGCGGAAGCCUGAACCAGCCAAGUAGCGUGCAGGAUGACGGCCCUACGGGUUGUAAACUGCUUUUAUCCGGGAAUAACGCGCCUUACGUGUAGGGCUUUGCAUGUACCCCAUGAAUAAGGACCGGCUAAGUCCGUGCCAGCAGCCGCGGUAAUCCGGAAGGUCCGGGCGUUAUCCGGAUUUAUUGGGUUUAAAGGGGGCGUAGGCCGGCUGUUAAGCGUGCUGUUAAAUGUCCGGGCUCAACCCGGGCCUUGCAGCGCGAACUGGCGGGAUGGAGUCCGCGGAAAGCAGGCGGAAUUCGUCGUGUAGCGGUGAAAUGCUUAGAUAUGACGAAGAACCCCGAUUGCGAAGGCAGCUUGCUGCAGCGGAACUGACGCUGAUGCUCGAAGGCGCGGGUAUCGAACAGGAUUAGAUACCCCAGUAGUC
rnacentral:rRNA from 1 species